UAAGAAGUAACUUAACAGAGCUCAUUGGUUUUGUUUGCUUAAGAGAAAGAGGAUUCUUAUUUGCAGCGAAGUGUUUGUAGUUCUCUGUAGGAGGAGCUCCACAGUUAUAUAAUCUCAAGGCAGAACUGCUGAGAGCAUAGAGUGAAUUACCCUGUGCACGAGAUACCAGGGAAUCAGGCACGUGGAAACAUGUCUGGAAAACCCAAGCUGCACUACUUCAAUGGACGUGGCCGCAUGGAACCAAUUCGGUGGCUCCUGGCAGCAGCUGGGGUUGAGUUUGAAGAAUCUUUCUUGGAAAAAAAGGAGGAUCUGACAAAGUUACAGAAUGGUAAGUUUCCUUCACUUUUAAAUUAUAACAGCAGCAAUAGUAAAAAUAAGAAGAAUCAGAAUUAGAAUUAGAAUUAGAGUUACUUGUCUGAGAACACUUAAGAAUUGGUAAGUCUUAGUGCCUUAAAAAGAAAAUCUCUUAACUGCAUUGUACAUGAGCUCUCAGAGGUGCAGACUGCUGUGUGUUAGGUGCUGUCAUCCACCCAGUUGCUUCAACCUUCACUGAAUCACAGAAGGGCUGAAGUCAGAAGGGACCUCUCAAGAUUAUCUACUCCACCUCUCCUCUUCAAGCAGGGCCCCCUCCAGCCAGGGACUCAGGACCACGUCCAGCUGGGUUUUGAGUAUCUCCAAGGAUGGAGAAUUUACAGCUUCUCUGGACAGCCCACACAGUCAGAGAGUUUUUCUUGAAGUUCAGGUGGCUGACUCUCCUUUGUUUCAGCUUGUGUCCUUUGCUUUCCAUCCUCUGGCAAUAGAGGCUUUUGUCUUCAGAUGAUC